rnacentral:rRNA from 1 species
GAUGAACGCUGGCGGCAUGCCUUACACAUGCAAGUCGAACGGCAGCACGGACUUCGGUCUGGUGGCGAGUGGCGAACGGGUGAGUAAUGUAUCGGAACGUACCUUUCAGUGGGGGAUAACGUAGCGAAAGUUACGCUAAUACCGCAUAUUCUGUGAGCAGGAAAGCAGGGGAUCGCAAGACCUUGCGCUGAUUGAGCGGCCGAUAUCAGAUUAGCUAGUUGGUGGGGUAAAGGCCUACCAAGGCGACGAUCUGUAGCGGGUCUGAGAGGAUGAUCCGCCACACUGGAACUGAGACACGGUCCAGACUCCUACGGGAGGCAGCAGUGGGGAAUUUUGGACAAUGGGGCAACCCUGAUCCAGCCAUGCCGCGUGAGUGAAGAAGGCCUUCGGGUUGUAAAGCUCUUUCGGCCGGGAACGAAAUCGCACAGGCUAAUACCCUGUGUGGAUGACGGUACCGGAAUAAGAAGCACCGGCUAACUACGUGCC